rnacentral:rRNA from 1 species
UACGGAGGAUGCAAGUGUUAUCCGGAAUCACUGGGCGUAAAGCGUCUGUAGGUGGUCAAAUAAGUCAACUGUUAAAUCUUGAGGCUCAACCUCAAAAUCGCAGUCGAAACUAUUCGACUAGAGUAUAGUAGGGGUAAAGGGAAUUUCCAGUGGAGCGGUGAAAUGCGUAGAGAUUGGAAAGAACACCGAUGGCGAAGGCACUUUACUGGGCUAUUACUAACACUGAGAGAUGAAAGCUAGGGUAGCAAAUGGG